rnacentral:rRNA from 1 species
UACGGAGGAUGCAAGCGUUAUCCGGAAUGAUUGGGCGUAAAGCGUCCGCAGGUGGCUAUGUAAGUCUGCUGUUAAAGAGUGAGGCUCAACCUCAUAAGAGCAGUGGAAACUACACAGCUAGAGUACGGUCGGGGUAGAAGGAAUUCCUGGUGUAGCGGUGAAAUGCGUAGAGAUCAGGAAGAACACCGGUGGCGAAAGCGUUCUGCUAGACCUGUACUGACACUGAGGGACGAAAGCUAGGGGAGCGAAUGGG